rnacentral:rRNA from 1 species
AAACCGCCCAGAGGUAAACGGGUGGAUCCGCAAAGUCGGCCCGCGGAAUUCAGCGCGGCGCGCAGACCUGGGCUGCCGUGGUUCGGGAUCCCUGGGACCCAACCGCGGCGUCGUUCGGGUCUCCGCCGCGUGCACUUUCCGCGGGCAGAGUGCCACAACCGGUUCGGUGGCGGCUAAACGUUUGGAGGGUUGUAGGUGGGGGCGCCUGCGUCCCUACCAGCCCUUUUAAUGCGAGUCGCCGCUGGACCGAGGGAACGCCGCGCGCUUCGAGGCCACCCUCCCCUCCUGGUGAUUUCGACUGGGAGAGACUGGGCAACCGUGUCUCCCGACCGCUCAUCUGUGAUCGGCGUGGGGCUGGCCGGGCGUGCAUUGUCUGUCAAGGUUGGUGGCAAGUAUGUCGGCAUUCCACCCGACCCGUCUUGAA